GUGCUCAUUUUGGCAGCACAUUUACUAAAAUUGGAAUAAUACAGAAAUUAGCAUAGCCCUUGCACAGGGAUGACAUGCAAAAAAUGUAAGUUCAU
rnacentral:snRNA from 1 species